AGUACUGCAAUAGGAAUUUUCAACCAUAAAAAACAAUUUACUAUGCUCCAUGUGAAGCAUUAUAUCUUUCUUAAGUCUUAUUAAGACCCUUCCUGUAAGUUCUAUUUUCCAUAAAGAGGUUGGUAGUGUGUGGUUUUCCACAAAGGGGUGUUCUCGAUUGGUAACCUUGUCUAUGUGAACCAAGACAGCAUUAGCAGAGGGCAGCAAGAUAUGAACAACAAUUUCAUAUGGCGGAGGGAGAUGGAUUAGGAGAAGAAGCAAACCAAUUUGGUGAUGGAGACAAUUUUUCCAUAUAAAAGUCAGCCUGCUUGAUCAAUGGGGAGAGUUAAAUUGCUGCUUCGUCAUCAUUCUAUUGUGAUUCUUAGAUUCUCAAUUGAAUUCGGAUAUCGCAAAGGAUAGACAGAAAUGAGCAAAGUGGGCAUUCUUGAUAGACUUGCACACCGAAAGCACACACUGGUCCAAGUAGAGUGCAUUGCCUACAAACAAGAUAUACGUUUUACCUCCUCUUACAUGUUCACUGAUGUCAAGUGCUAUCUUUUUUUUCACGUAAAAUGUCAAUUGAUAUCUUCCCAUGUAAUCUAUUAAUACGUAGACUUGGUUUCCAUUGCAAGUUAUUGGACUCCGGAUGGAAAAUUCAUGGCUAAAGUUUCAUAGGGCUAUACUUGAUGUUUUGGUUGGGUACAGCUGCUGAGCUUUUUAAGAAUUAAUAUUCUUGCAAUUCAUUUU